rnacentral:rRNA from 1 species
UACGUAGGGGGCAAGCGUUAUCCGGAUUUACUGGGUGUAAAGGGAGCGUAGACGGCAAGGCAAGUCUGAUGUGAAAACCCAUGGCUUAACCAUGGGACUGCAUUGGAAACUGUCUGGCUGGAGUGCAGGAGAGGUAAGUGGAAUUCCUAGUGUAGCGGUGAAAUGCGUAGAUAUUAGGAGGAACACCAGUGGCGAAGGCGGCUUACUGGACUGUAACUGACGUUGAGGCUCGAAAGCGUGGGGAGCAAACAGG